rnacentral:rRNA from 1 species
GAUGAACGCUAGCGGGAGGCUUAACACAUGCAAGUCGAGGGGUAAAUGGUAGCAAUACGUAUGAGACCGGCGGACGGGUGCGUAACGCGUAUGCAACAUACCUUGUGCAGGGGGAUAGCCCGUGGAAACGCGGAUUAAUAUUCCAUAGUCCAGCUAUAUCGCAUGGUAUAGUUGGUAAAGAUUUAUCGGCACAAGUUUGGCAUGCGUCUGAUUAGCUUGUUGGUAGGGUAACGGCCUACCAAGGCUACGAUCAGUAGGGGUUCUGAGAGGAUUAACCCCCACACUGGUACUGAGACACGGACCAGACUCCUACGGGAGGCAGCAGUGAGGAAUAUUGGUCAAUGGGCGGAAGCCUGAACCAGCCAUCCCGCGUGAAGAAAGACAGCCUUACGGGUUGUAAACUUCUUUUCUGUCAGAAGAAUAAGCUUGUCGAGACGAGUGAUGCCGGUAUGACAGGAAUAAGCAUCGGCUAACUCCGUG